CUGUACGUCAAUGUCAUUCAUACUCUCUCUUGAUUGUACGUAUCAAAUGAAAUAAGAUCAGAUAACUCCGAGAAACAUUUAGACCUUUCAAUAAAUUUGACAAAUCUGAAACCUAGAUAUAUAAAGAGAGUGGGAAUAUACCUUUUACUGCGAGACAUUUCUUUUCAAUUUUUCGUCGGUAUACGAAACAAUUACGAUUGACAUACUUGGGCAGGAUUGCUACGGAUGAUUUCGACAACAAAAGUAAGCGUGUUAUACACCAUUGUGUAGACAAAUCAAUCUAGAUAUACGACUUAACAAGUUUUAGUGGGUUUGACAACGCAAAAUUGGCAUAUACUGUGGAUUCAUUAAUUUUCGUGAGUACUUAUUUUUGUGGAUUAAGGAAAACUUGCAUAUUCUUGGAUAUUUGAUUUCGUGGUUUUGCUGAAGUUUGUAUACAAAGCUUUUGAGAAUUCUUCAUUCGAUUAAAGUUAGAAUGUGGUUUACCUUUACCCACGAAAGCCACGAAUUUGAUAUCCAACGAAUAAUAAUGAAUCCACAGUAACGGAAUUUCGCGACCGGCUAACAUUUUUCAAAAAUACGAGUUACAAAAUGUAAGUACCUUGUGUUAUAUUUAGGUAUAUAGGAAAUUUGUUUUCUGAGACAAAUGCCAGUGGCUUAAAAGUGGCGCUAAAACACCAAAAAUCAAAUCAAUUUUCUCUUCGGGUGGGAUUCGUGUUGUUUAUUCUUUAGUUUUUCUAUGUUGUGUCAUGUGUGCUGUUGUUUGUUUGUCUUUUUUCAUUUUUUGCCAUGGCGUUGUCAGUUUGUUUUAGAUUUAUGAGUUUGAUUGUCCCUUUGGUAUCUUUCGUCCCUCUUUUAAAUGUUUCUGUUGGUGUGUGGUUAAAGUGACUCGUUACUGGUGACCUAACUGUUAUUCAAUAACGAUAGUUGAAUUUUUUUUGUUGUUGCUAUAGAGGCACUGCUUUUAAAUUCCAUAAACGAGAAUUUAAAACAAGGAACAUAACUAUCAGCAAUCUCUUUAAAAUAUAAACUUAAACAUUAUACAGUUUCAAACUCUGCUAUAACAAACCUACACAUAUACACAUACAUACACUUUACCGUCGCCAGGCUACUUCAUGGAAGGUAACAUAUCUACACCAAGUUUUUUCAAUGGUUGACUUAUUUUUUGUAUCCAAAUAUUCUGACAAAUAUCGGUGACUGCGGAUAAUACUGUGUAAUGCUUCAAACUCUGCUUUAACAAACAAACACAUAUAUUUUAUAUUCGCCAGUUACUUCAUGGAAGGCAACAUUUUUACGAAGACUUUUUUGCACUGCUUGACGUUUUCUUGGUAUCAAAUAAUUUUGGCAAAUAUCGGUGACUGCGAAUAGAACUGCGGAAUGCUUCAAACUCUGAUAUAACAAACAAACUAUAAUAUAACAAACAUACAAAUAUACAUAUACCCUUUAUGGUCGCCCGGUUACUUCACGGUGAUAGCAUAUUUACAAAGAAUUUUUUACUGGUGGACGUAUCCUCAAUAUCAAAUAAUUUUGACGAAUCUCGGCGACUAUGUAUAAAAAUGCCGAAUAAUUCAAACUUUGCUUUAACAUACACAUGUACACAUACACUUAACGAUCGCCCGGGUACUUCCCGGUAGGUAACACAUUUAUGAAGAACUAUCUGUACUUGUUGACGUAUUCUCCCUAUCCAAUAAUUUUGACAAAUCUCGUUGACUGUGGAUUAAAUUGCUGCAAACUCUGCUAUAACAAACAUACACAUAUACACACAUCCUUUGCAGUCGCCUGGUUACCUUACGGUGUUAACAUAUUUUACGUAGAUUGUUUUUACUUGUUGACGUAUUCUCGGUAUCCAAUAACUUUUAAAAAUCUCGGUAUCUGUCGAUAAAACUACAGAAUGCUUCAAACUAUGCCAUAGAAUACAAACACAUAAACACAUAAUCUUUAAGUUUGCCCGGUUACUUCACGGUAGGCUACACAUUUACAACUAGCCAUAUUUACUUGUUAACGUAUUCUCCGUAUCAAAUAAUUUUGACAAAUCUCGAUGACUGGGGACUAAACUGCGGAAUACUUUAAACUCUGCUAUAACAAACAUACAUGUAUACAAAUAUACAUAUACUUAACCGUAGGCUGAAUACUUCACGGUAGGUAAUAUAUUUACGAAGAACGUUUUUUACUUGUUGAUGUUUUCUCAGUAUCCAAUAAUUUUGACAAAUCUCGUUGACUGUGGAUAAAACUGCGGAAUGCUUAAAUCUCUGCUAUAACACAUAUACGAAUAUACACAUAAAAUUUACGACUGCUCUUUUACUUAAUGGUAGUAACACAUUCACAAAGAACUUUUUUUACUUGUUGACGUAUUCUCCGUAUCUAUAUUUUUCACGAAUCUCGGUGCCUGUUGUUAAAACCAAUUAGUAUGGACAUUCACCAUCGUAAAUUCUGUAAAACGAUGAUUAAUAG
rnacentral:lncRNA from 1 species